rnacentral:rRNA from 1 species
GACGAACGCUGGCGGCGUGCUUAACACAUGCAAGUCGAACGGAAAGGCCCUGCGUUUGUGGGGUGCUCGAUUGGCGAACGGGUGAGUAACACGUGAGUAACCUGCCCUUGACUGUGGGAUAACAUCAGGGAACUGGGGCGAAUACCGGGGAGGAGCUCCUGCUGCAUGGUGGGGGUUGGAAAGUUUCGGCGGUUGGGGAUGGACUCGCGGCCUAUCAGCUGGUUUGUCGGGUAGUUGCUUACCAAGGCUUUGACGGGUAGCCGGCCUGAGAGGGUGAACGGGGACCUGGGGACUGAGAGAGGGAGCAGAAGGGUACGGGAGGCAGCAGUGGGGAACCUUGCGGAACGGGCGCACGCGUGAUGUAAAAGUGUCCCGUGCGGAAUGCUGGCUUUUGGGUGGAAAACAGAUGUCGAAGGAGACGAAGAGGGCGUGACGGUACUGGGUCAAGAAGCACCGGCUAACUACGUG